AAAGAGUGUAACGUUAGCAUCUUGGUGAAGGAUAAUUAUCUUCUACAGCACACAUUUGAAAGUCUGCCAUCUGAAGAAAAACUUAAACACCUCGGCGCACACCAGCUGUAGGAUAUUGUUAUAAAUUACAAUUCUGCAUCUUUCUGAGGGGAUUACCAAACAUGAAAGCAGUGGGACAACGUGUUAAAAUUGCGGACAGAGGGAGACUUUCAGCUGCACCACAUGGGGUUCGUUCGUUCAGCUGGCAGAACAAGGACACCUGGUGCCACCUUUCUGGCACGUCUACGGGAGGGUUCACAUGUACGAGAGGUUUCACAGG